rnacentral:rRNA from 1 species
GACGAACGCUGGCGGCGUGCUUAACACAUGCAAGUCGAACGGAAAGGCCCUGCUUUUGUGGGGUGCUCGAGUGGCGAACGGGUGAGUAACACGUGAGUAACCUGCCCUUGACUUUGGGAUAACUUCAGGAAACUGGGGCUAAUACCGGAUAGGAGCUGCUGCUGCAUGGUGGGGGUUGGAAAGUUUCGGCGGUUGGGGAUGGACGCGCGGCUUAUCAGCUUGUUGGUGGGGUAGUGGCUUACCAAGGCUUUGACGGGUAGCCGGCCUGAGAGGGUGACCGGCCACAUUGGGACUGAGAUACGGCCCAGACUCCUACGGGAGGCAGCAGUGGGGAAGAUUGCACAAUGGGCGGAAGCCUGAUGCAGCAACGCCGCGUGCGGGAUGACGGCCUUCGGGUUGUAAACCGCUUUCGCCUGUGACGAAGCGUGAGUGACGGUAAUGGGUAAAGAAGCACCGGCUAACUACGUG